AAUGAGUCUAGCAUAUACAAAUUAUUGGAUAGUAAACCUCCUGGUAAAAGCAUAAUGAAAAUAAAGAUUAUCUUUGGUAUAAUUGAUAUGUGAUCCAUAUAUGUAGAGGUUCCAUAUAUGGCGAAACAUAACCCGUUCAUGUCGCAUGCAAUAGGGCAGAGAUAGAGUAUAAGCUGGAAUCCAAAAGAUAAGCUAUAUUUGAACAGGAUGAAGCUAGUAAUUCUGACGUGCAAAUCAAUCAACUGACUUCGGCAUAAAUAAGAUAGAAUAAUCGAAUAAAGACGAUAGAUUGAUGGAACUGUCUAAUAACUGGUACCGUUUGGAGUUACCCUGAAGUUUCCUGCUAGAGUACAUAGUGAAGCGGUUAUAUUUGGUAAAGUGAAUGAUUAGAGAAAUUAUGGGACGAGACAGUCUCUUUUAUUUAAAUAGUAAUAAUGAAACGUAGACAAUGGAUAUUUUUCGUAAAUAUUCCACUUUUUUGGUAAAAAAACUAUAGCCAUGAAAUGAACUAAACAUUGAGUUAAAGUGCCAAACUUUCCCUCAUAAGAUUCCAUGAAAGGCGUUUAAUUGAUAUGGAUAACACGAUAAAUGUGGUCAAGGAAGUUGGAACCAUUAAGGAAUGUGCUGAAACUCAUCUGUUAAAUAAAGCAGUAGAUGAUACUUAGGUGAGCGAUUUAUAUUCAGCUAAUGCGUGACUUAUGCUUAUUACCUAGGAAUAACCUAAUUUAGGCUUAUGUU
rnacentral:ncRNA from 1 species